AUCUUAAACUGUGUUCCGAAGAUGAACGGAGGUCUUACGGGUUUGGAACGACAUGAGGAAUAAAACAGCGACUUUCCUGGAAAAUCUACCACACUGAAACCUCUUAGCGAAACAAGAUGGAGCUGCCAUGCAAAAGCCUCUCAAGGGCAUACUUUAUAACUUUGAGACUGCUGUUGACACUCCAAGUGAAAUUUCAGAAAAUGAUGUGCGAAUCGGGGGACAGGCAAGUAGUCUGUUGACAUCAGUCACUGCUUUUCACUUUCUGUUCCCUUGCAUUUUAAUGCGACAAGUUCUCAUGCAGUGCAAUGUACUGUCCAUCACCUUACAUUAUCCCUGCUAACACACGACGUAACAGUUACGUAACGUAUUGGUAAUUAUUGGUAAUUCCGUGACUUACCAAUUGACAACGUAACUACGACGUCGCAUGACCGUAAUUUUAUUACCAUCCCAUUACCAACUCACAACGUCGUCAGUACGUCCUUCCAACGUGACCAGAUAACCAAGAACGUCCCAGAUUGGUUCUCUAUUCGUAAUAUAUUGGUAACUUCAUGACUUACUGGCAACGUAACUACAACGUCAUAUGCACGUAAUUUCAUUACCAUAACUUUUGUACGUGCUUUAUAUGCUCUCUGAGUAUAGUGAUAUUUAAAAAGUGUAAUUAAACUUCAGACACAAGAUUAAACGUUCCUUAAAGAUAAAAUGUGUUUCUUUUCACCAAGUCAGAAUAUGGACAUGUUUUUAAUAUAUAAUGACUUGACAUACAGCGCGCGCGCUUCCACAGCUGACACACCGAGCGCACAGUAUUGACAAGAAAGGAAAUACAUUUUGUGAAACUUUCUAUUUUGUAAGGAGUUAUGAACGUAAAAUAAUGACACAGACUGGCUAAACAAUCUCAUCUGCCGCAGAGACUGUAUCAGGAUGACAGCGCGUUUGUUUGAGGCACUUUUCACUUCAACUGUGUCUGACAGGAGAAUUAGCUUUUCUGAGCCUACUAGCCGUUGAGAGUUACCAUGGCAACCGCGGACACGUCAGCUGCUGGAGAGGAGAGGACUCGUCUGACACUUUCUCUGUUUCUCGUCAGUUAUACCAAAGAAAAGUUCAACACCUGCGACAGAUUGUUUGUUUAUUUCUAAUAAGGAGUUGGAGGCCGUGGAGAAGCAGAUCCGUGACCUCGUGGAGAAGCAGGCUCAGCUGAGAGAGCGGAGAGCCGUGCUGGAAACAUACAGGGGUUGACGCUCAUAAGUCCGGGGUAAGUAUACAGCACGCUGCUAACUCUCCCACCCCCUCUACUCUGUGUGGUUCUCUGCACAGGCCCGGUGUACCCAGGACGCAAUCUUCCCAGAUGUCCUUCACCCUGUGCCACAGUGUAAGACAUGAGCCAGGUCCUGGGUGACAACCUCUCUCCCCCCGCCGCCUCCGGUCUUCGUGAUCUCCACUGUAAACCUAUUUGCUCCACUUCACGAGACAGAACACGACUCUGUGUUCGUCGGAGACUCCAUUGUCCGGCACAUUCGUGCUAUGUUAGCUGAAGGUAAUGUGCACACUCACUGUUUCCCUGGUGCUCGUGUUCUUGAUAUUUCUGCACAGAUACCCGCGAUCCUGAAGGGUGAAGAGAGCAUCGGAGCGGUCGUGCUUCACGCCGGGGUUAACGAUACCAAGCUGCGGCAGACGCAGACACUAAAGAGGGACUUCAGGAGCCUGAUCGAGACGGUGCGCCGCAUAUCGCCUGCACGAUGAUCAUCAUGUCAGGACCUCUUCCCAUGUAUAGAUGAGGACACGAAAGGUUCAGUAGAUUUUUUGCUCUAAAUGAAUGGUUAUUGUCAUGGUGUAAAGAACAGAAACUGCUCUUUGUUAAUAAUUGGAAUCUUUUCUGGGAGCGUCCUAGGCUUUUUCGCGCUGAUGGCCUGCACCCCAGCAGAGUCGAAGCAGAACUCCUGUUGGACAACAUCUCCAGGACUCUACGCUCCAUUGACUAGGCAGUUUGUGAAGACAGAUAAUCAAGAGAUGUGACAAACUGUACAGAAGUCAGUUCCAGAUCCACCCUCCACACCAGACCUCUCUCAUAUGGACUGCUGUCUACUAGCAUACUUCGGUUGAUGCAGAUAUUACUCAGGGACAUGAACACUUGAAUACUGCAAGCAUAGAGAAAGUAAGAAUUACUGAAGAUUUAAGAAUUUAAUGUUAAUUGCUUAAACAUUAUAUAUACUGUUUUAGCAAUUAACAUAAUAGUUUUUUUUUGGUGUCCAAAGCACCUAAAAGCCAAUUCACACCGCCAUACUCCAACAGUUCAAACAAAACAAAAUAAGCAUGUUUUUUAAAUAGUUUUUUUGCCAGUGUGAACUGGCCAUAAUGCUGUAUGUUAGGUGUGAGAUUCAUUAAACCUGAUUUGCUAUAAUACAUCUGUUCAUAAGAUAUUGCAUAUGAUUUUCAGUUAAUUGUUUGUAGUGGUUUGGUUAAGGGUGUGAUUAGCUGAUGUAUUAUUGUGGGAACAUGUGAUUAGUUGAUGAAUUGUGUGCAUGGUUAAUGAUGGAUAUUAUGUAUUUAAAUGUAAUGGGCUGAGUGCCUACUAAGACUUGAAUAUUUGUGCAUAAUGUUUUGACCCUGGAUGCUAACAGAAGGAUAUAGAUAUUUAAAUAUAUGGACAUUUAUUUAUUAUUAAUAUAUUUUAAUCUAUCUAUGCUUCUGUAUGGGCUGAAUGCUUUCAUUCACAUUUUGCUGUAUAUCCUAUGUUUUUUUAUUAAUAAUUUGGGUGUAUUACUGGUCAUAUUUGUUUGUUAAUAAAUGAACUGAAUUCA